AGCAUGUGGGUUCUGUCUGGAAGGGCAAUUUUGGCCCAGAAGUUCCUGGCAUUCAUGGGGGGGGGGGAGGCAUGGGGGGAUCUGUUAAUGUCCCUUGGGCAUGUGUGGAUCAGUUCUUCUGUGUGACUCAUACCUGGCCAGCAAUUGCAGGACACACCCUGCUCCAUGGAUGGAAGCAAACAUCUGUUAGUUAAAGCUGUCCUUGUGCCUCUGGGUGGGAUAAGACGGGCCUGGGUGCAAUAUUGCCCUGGGGGAUACCACUGUUCAGCUUUCCCAAGAAGUGGGUACUUCUUGUAUCGACUGCUGAUGCUUGCUGACACAGAGCAUCAAGGCAGACUGUAACACAAGAACAGCGGCCACAGGCUGCCCUGGGUGCUCCUUCUUGGCCAUUCUGAGCUGGCAGAUCCGAGUCCUUCAGGCGGUCCCCGCUUUCUCCAGGGCCUGGCCACCGAUUAGGGU
rnacentral:lncRNA from 1 species